GCUUACGGCCAUACCUCUCUGGCUCCGCCUGAUCUCGUCUGAUCUCAGAAGCUAGCAGAGUAGGGCUGUUAGUACUUGAUGGAAGACCGCUGGGAAUCCCAGGUGCGUAGCUU
ensembl:rRNA 5S_rRNA 5S ribosomal RNA